CCUCGCUCUCGUCCGGCUCCACCUCCAGCCACAGAGCUCAUCCUCGAUCCCUUCCGCUCACCCGGACCCCCAGGCUCCGGGAGCCCUCCAAGAAGUGGCCGAAGAGAGGGUUCUUGUAGAAAACGAGAAUUAUAAACCCCCUUUUCUGUAACCUUAGCCACUAAACAUAGCCAAAGUCAGAGGUUACAAAGCGUCGGUUAACGCUUCAAAUAGGAAACGGUGAGAGAACGGAAGACUGUUGACCGAGGCUGAAAACCCAAAGGUCUGAAUCACCUAUUACAUCUUGUUAAAAAAUGCACCCUUCACCCUUCUUGUUCGAGGUUGCCCCGAAUGGACUAAAUCAAUGAAAAUCACAGCUUUUAUUGAGGAAGCCCUCUCUGCAUAACUGCUCUCUCCUCUCAACCUUUUGGACUUAGAGGUGGUCACAAUAAAGCUAGGAUGAAUAAGAAUCCCAGUCAAAGAGGGAGAGAGAUGGCUUCCAAACAGGAGGCAGGACACCAUGUGUGCCACACAGCAGUAAGUACAUCAGUCCUGCUAAGGGCAGCCACUUAUGAUAUCUGAGAAUGGGAUUACCCAACUCUAAGUGGCCAUUUGAGAAAUCUGUGUCUCAUCAGGUGACCCAGCUGCCUCCCACUCCUUGUGUCUCAAUCUAAACACUGAGUGACCACUGACAUGCUCCAACUCCCGGGCUGUAGUGUCUUUGUGGAGAUGGUAAAUAGACCUGAAUAGCUUAUAGGAGGCCCCUCCCUUCUCAAAGAUGGGAGGGGUCUCUGCCUCAGUUUCCCCUUCUAGACAGCAGAGGGCUCUGGCUGUCCCCCACUGAUAUCAUUAUGGAACCCCAGCUGGGGUCCCUAUUCAGUGCUGACUCCCCCCUCCUAGCAGCUGCUCUUCCAAACACACCCCUCCUCCUGCUGCCCCAGCCCUUGACACUGGCUGGCCUUCCCCCCCCCCACACAGGCCACGAGAUGGGCUCCUGAGACCCUCCCCCAGCAAAGGGCUACCUGCAGCUCAUUCUGGAGAGAGAGAGCAGGCAAAAACUUGGACUGGCAGAUAGAGGCCUGGGGAGUCAGAGUGCCUCAGUUUCCUCCUCAAUAGCAACUGAGUAUUUAUAGUAUCUGAAAGCAGGCUUGAUACUUGAUGGCACAAAUGUAGACUUCAUCUCUUUUCCCGCUUCCUGCAGGAAGCAGGAUGGGGGCAGGUAGCACCUGGUAGGCAGGAUGGUUUGCCCCUCCCUCCUCCAUCCCUUCUGGAAGUUUUGGGUCCUUAGUGCCUGCAACAGCCAGCCUUGGGCAAAUAAAAGACUAAGUUGUUUACUAAAAAAACAAAAAAAAAAACAAACAAAAAAA